AAGUUUUACAGAUUAUUAAUUCUAUAAGAGUAUAUAAUAAAGUUUAUUUUAUGUAUAUAUGGGAGGCGUCAAACUCGGACUCCUCCUGGCGUGACGAGGCCAUUUAUUUCUGCCGCUUCUCUUCUUUGCAAUCUGCUUCUCAAAGAGCAUUUCAAGUUGGUGCGCUUGGUGGAUCUACUUUUUUCUGAAAGGAUGAAGAAAAAGCUGAAUGAGUGGCGGUCUGAGCUCUUAUAUGGUCCGAACGCCUCUUCUGAGUCUUCACAUGGGUCUACGCAGAGUACUGAAACUGUGUUCUAUCACAUGCGUCCAGCUCUCACUCUCAAGGCUUUCAAUUCUCAUCAGCUCAGAGUUGUUAAAUUGGUCUAAUAUGCAGCCCAGAACAGAGGAUGGAAGAGCUGAGGUUUCAACUGUUCCCUCAAGCCUAUAUGAGGCAAGCUAUGUGGGUAAUGUUGAGUCUGACACCCUUGCAUCUAUCCAAAAUGAGGGAACAGACCUGUACGAUGAGCUUGUUUAAGCUAUACAAGGAAAAACUGUUGGCUGUGACUAUUUAAUUUUUGGAAUGGCUUUGCAUUUGAGAAGAUACCAACAAGCUUGUGCAUGUGUUCAGACACAAAGUAAUGCUAAGACUACCUUAAGAGGGGCCAGACUUGUUCUUGAAGUCGUAUUACUUGCAAGUAGCAGACUGAGAGACAGAAUUGAUUAAGCAACCACACAGAAGAAACAAGUCUCGAAGGGGGUUGAUCUGUGUUACAUAGAAGACUCGAUGCCUACAGUCAAGCUUGCGAUGGCCAACUGACACCAGGAGCAAACAGACACGGUCAAGCCGUUUGAUGUAGUUUUUUUUUUUUCAUUAGGUUUAGCCUUUAGGUUUGGUUAACCAGUUUAUUAUUUAUAAACCCUUUUAAUUUGUAAACAGUUUUGAAAUGUAUUAUUAUAAAUAAAAUAAUUUCAUUUACU